rnacentral:rRNA from 1 species
CCUACGGGGAGGCAGCAGUGAGGAAUAUUGGUCAAUGGGCGGGAGCCUGAACCAGCCAAGCCGCGUGAAGGAAGAAGGCGCCAAGCGUCGUAAACUUCUUUUGUCGGGGAACAAAGGGCGCCACGUGUGGCGUUGUGAGUGUACCCGAAGAAAAAGCAUCGGCUAACUCCGUGCCAGCAGCCGCGGUAAUACGGAGGAUGCGAGCGUUAUCCGGAUUUAUUGGGUGUAAAGGGAGCGUAGACGGUUAAUCAAGUCAGAAGUGAAAACCCAGGGCUCAACCUUGGGACUGCUUUUGAAACUGGGUAGCUAGAGUGCAGGAGAGGUAAGCGGAAUUCCUAGUGUAGCGGUGAAAUGCGUAGAUAUUAGGAGGAACACCAGUGGCGAAGGCAGCUUACUGGACUGUAACUGACGUUGAGGCUCGAAAGCGUGGGGAGCAAACAGGAUUAGAUACCCUUGUAGUC